UAGGGAAUCUUCGGCAAUGGACGAAAGUCUGACCGAGCAACGCCGCGUGAGUGAAGAAGGUUUUCGGAUCGUAAAACUCUGUUGUGAGAGAAGAACAAGGACGUUAGUAACUGAACGUCCCCUGACGGUAUCUAACCAGAAAGCCACGGCUAACUACGUGCCAGCAGCCGCGGUAAUACGUAGGUGGCAAGCGUUGUCCGGAUAUAUUGGGCGUAAAGCGAGCGCAGGCGGUUUCUUAAGUCUGAUGUGAAAGCCCCCGGCUCAACCGGGGAGGGUCAUUGGAAACUGGGGGACUUGAGUGCAGAAGAGGAGAGUGGAAUUCCAUGUGUAGCGGUGAAAUGCGUAGAUAUAUGGAGGAACACCAGUGGCGAAGGCGGCUCUCUGGUCUGUAACUGACGCUGAGGCUCGAAAGCGUGGGGAGCAAACAGG
rnacentral:rRNA from 1 species